GAUGAACGCUGACAGAAUGCUUAACACAUGCAAGUCAACUGUGGCGGACGGGUGAGUAACGCGUAAAGAACUUGCCUCCCAGCUAGGGACACCAUUUGGAAACGAAUGCUAAUACCUGAUACUGUGAGAGAGCUUUGCGUCCCAUUAGCUAGUUGGAGAGGUAACGGCUCACCAAGGCGAUGAUGGGUAGCCGGCCUGAGAGGGUGAUCGGCCACAAGGGGACUGGGACACGGCCCUUACUCCUACGGGAGGCAGCAGUGGGGACGAUUGGACAAUGGACCAAAGUCUGAUCCAGAAAUUCUGGGUGCACGAUGAAGUUUUCGGAAUGUAAAGUGCUUUCAGUUGGGAAGCAGUACCAACAGAAGAAGUGACGGCUAAAUACGUGCCAGCAGCCGCGGUAAUAC
rnacentral:rRNA from 1 species